rnacentral:lncRNA from 1 species
GUACACGUGGGCUCCUUAUGCGUUUCUAGCUUGGGAUCUCAUUCCCUCAGGCCCGGUAGGCGUGCGCGGGGCUGGGUAUGGGGACGGGGGAGGGGGGCUUUUUCAAGGCACCAGAAACUCGUGGGAUGGGAGAAGCUUUGGAUAGUUACCCCUUUCUGCCUGUCGCUCUGGGUGUCCGGUGCCCCCAGCUCCCUCCGACUCUGCUCCUGGCAGCCCAGCCGAGCCGGAGUGGGAGCGUUGGCGGCGGCCCGGAACCUGCCGGGCCACUUUUGUGCUAGGGGCGGAUUGUGGCAGGCAGAGAGCCGAGCCAAGCAGGCCAGGCAGAAUGGGGGCUCGGGCCUGCGCGCGGCCUUGGAAACCUCGGCUCCUCCCCGUCCCCGCCUCGAGUCUCAGGAAACAAAGUCUCGGAAGCGCAGGCCGAUUGGGGAGGAACUCUGGCGUCUCGGAGGCCUGGCCCCGGGCCGCGCUCUGCGGUGGGGGCAUCUAGCGUGGCUGCCCGCCUGUGGGCAGUUUCAAGUCGGAAUAAGGGUGUGGAUGGAUCAGCGCUUGAUUUACUCGGGUGCCACCUCAGCGCAGCGCCCGCCGGGCCAGGCGGAACGGCAACGGGCCUACAGCGUUUGCUCGCGGGGCCCCGAGGCCGAGCUGCGGGGCCGCCGGGGCGCCUGGUCCGCAGCUCCGCUCUCGCGCCUGCCGCUCGGCCGCCGGCCUUACCACCCCCACCCAGCCCCGGAGCGAGG